ensembl:lncRNA
UCACCCAGACAGAGCUCUAUGCAGGUUAUGUGACCACCCAGCUCUCAGGCUGUUGGAUGUUCCUAGCAUUACAACCUGAGAUGAAGGACAAGAACAAGUAUAAAUCUGAGGGUGCACCACUCCCAUGGGAUGCAGACUGAUGCAAAAUCGGCUUCCCAUGGUCUGCAAUUCUGCUGCAUGCUUCCACAAGGGAUGAAGGCUUCAAGAAUGGAUGGUUCUAUGUGAGUUCAUGAUCUGCAGCUCCUACCAAGAGCCUGUUCAUACAGGGGCUCACCAUGGUCUGCAGCAGCCUCCCUCAGACCACAUCUACCUGCUCCAUCAUGGACUCCUCCAUGGGCUGUAGCAUUGUGGUACGCCAUGAGCAUCAGAGGGACAGCCUGCUCUACAAUGGGCCUCUCCAUGAAUUACAGGGGAAUUUCUUCUCUGGCAUUUGGAGCAUCUCCUCCCUUUGUUCACUGACCUUGGUGUCUACAAAGUAGUUUUGCUAUGUUAUCUCAGCCCUUGCAGCUUCUCCUGUGGAGUGUUGUGAAAGACAAAACUGUUUUUCUGUUUUGUCUCAAAGCUUGCUUCGUGAGGCCUUUCUGGUGAUAAGACUCUAACUGACAACUGCAAAUUUUCUAGGGGGGCGAGUGGUGGGUGUCACUGUGCCACAGUACCUCUGCUUAUGAUUGUAAAAAUAAGCAGAAGUGGGACAAGCAGACUUUUUUGGGGGUGCAGCUUGAUGGAGCUGACCACUACAAAAGGCGAUAAUGAUUGUGCAUGGCAAUGAAGGCACCAAUCCCUGCUGACUUAUCUGUUGGGCCAGGUAGGUCACAGUAACAGAGAGAAAAGAAGAAGAAAAAAAAAAGCCAGAGAAAUGGGGGAUUAAAAGGCCCUUACUAAACUAAGGACUCUGAAGAAGGAUGCCCAAAGAAACCUUUGAUGGAGAAUUGGCUGAGGAGAAAACCUCUUUGGAAGAAACCCUUUCCCCUCCUCCCCCGUGGCCUGCUUGCUACAAAGCUUCCUGGCUUUCUCCCAUCUCCCAUGGUGACCAGACGAGUUCCUGAAGAUCGUCAGACAUACUACGAACCUCACUGGACCCACGGUGGUGACUAUCUCUCUCUUGCUUUUUACAGACUCCUUGCUUUUCAUUUCCUAUCUCUUUUCUAUCGUCCAUCUUCUGUUCCCCGUAUCCCUAAGCAACUAGGAUUUGUAAUAAAUUGGUCGAGCUAAC